AACGAACGCUGGCGGCAUGCCUAACACAUGCAAGUCGAACGCUCUCGGGACUUCGGUUUCGGGGGAGUGGCGCACGGGUGAGUAGCGCGUGGGAACCUGCCCUGUUGUGGGGGAUAACCGAGGGAAACUUCGGCUAAUACCGCAUGCGCCCCGGCGAAAGCCGGGGGAAAGAUUUAUCGCAGCAGGAGGGGCCCGCGUCGGAUUAGCUAGUUGGUGGGGUAACGGCUCACCAAGGCGAUGAUCCGUAGCUGGUCUGAGAGGAUGAUCAGC
rnacentral:rRNA from 1 species